rnacentral:rRNA from 1 species
CUUUCUUUGCUGGCGACCGGCGCACGGGUGAGUAACACGUAUCCAACCUGCCCUUUACUCGGGGAUAACCUUUCGAAAGAAAGAUUAAUACCCGAUAGCAUAAUGAUUCCGCAUGGUUUCAUUAUUAAAGGAUUCCGGUAAAGGAUGGGGAUGCGUUCCAUUAGGUUGUUGGUGAGGUAACGGCUCACCAAGCCUUCGAUGGAUAGGGGUUCUGAGAGGAAGGUCCCCCACAUUGGAACUGAGACACGGUCCAA